rnacentral:rRNA from 1 species
UACGUAGGGUGCGAGCGUUAAUCGGCAUUACUGGGCGUAAAGCGUGCGCAGGCGGUUUGUUAAGUCUGAUGUGACAGCCCCGGGCUCAACCUGGGAACUGCAUUGGACACUGGCAAGCUCGAGUAUGGCAGAGGGGGGUGGAAUUCCGCGUGUAGCAGUGAAAUGCGUAGAGAUGCGGAGGAACACCGAUGGCGAAGGCAGCCCCCUGGGCCAAUACUGACGCUCAGGCACGAAAGCGUGGGGAGCAAACAGG